rnacentral:rRNA from 1 species
AUGGAUCCUAACCCACAUGUGUUGUGUUGGAACGUGAGGGGUCUUAACAACCCUGCCAAGAAGCAUGCUGUUAGGGAGUUUGUAGUGGCGGCCAAGGUUAGCCUUGUGUGUCUUCAAGAGACAAAACUCGAUGUAUUCGAUCCUUUCAUCAUUAUGCAAUGCAUUGGCCCAUCUUUCGAUGGGUUUGACUAUGUACCGGCUGCGGAGACUCGUGGGGGCAUUCUUCUUGCAUGGGAUAGCACGGUGCUAUCCGUGAAUAACAUAGUGCGCGUCUCUAACUCUAUCACAGGGCUCGUGAUUGAUAAGGGCGGAUCGAAUUGGUGGGUUACGGUGGUGUACGGGCAGGAAGGAGAGGGCCCCAAAACUCAAUUUCUAUGUGAUCUUCAUGCUCUGCGCGCGGCCUGCCCUGGGCCGUGGAUGGUUUUGGGGGAUUUUAACAUGAUCCUUCGGGCGGAGGACAAGAGCAAUAAUAACAUCAACAGACGCAUCAUGAGGAGAUUUAAGGAGUUUGUGGAUAACAAUGAACUUAAGGAGGUUUACAUGCAUGGCCGGAGAUUCACGUGGACUAAUGAAAGGGAGCAACCGGUGAUGACGAAGAUCGAUCGUGUGUUGGUGACUGUGGACUAG